GAUCAGCAUGCCGCGGUGAAUACGUUCCCGGGUCUUGUACACACCGCCCGUCACACCACGAGAGUUUACAACACCCGAAGUCGGUGAGGUAACCGCGAGGGGCCAGCCGCCGAAGGUGGGGUAGAUGAUUGAGGUGAAGUCGUAACAAGGUAACCGUA
rnacentral:rRNA from 1 species